rnacentral:lncRNA from 1 species
UUGGUUUUAUAUAAACCUAUAUUUCUUGUGCAUUUUUUUAAAUUGACUUUAACAAAAUGAAACACUGAGAACAGGCACAAGCAGAUGUGUCCUUGCAGAUCUGAAAGCUAUUUAAACUAAUCUGACUGACUUUGCACUGUUAACAAGGCUCAGCUGUGAGUAUCAAGUAAACAAAAAGCAGUAACAUCUUGAAUCAUUAUCCAGUGUGAAAGUGUUUGUACUGUGGUGAACCAAGCAUCUAUCAUGUGAACUCUUUACAUUCACCCUCUUCUUCAUCCUGUUGGUUACCUGAAUGGUGGAAUCUUCAGAAAGAAGAUGGCACACACCUUCUGCCUCAUUUCCCUUCAGAAAAAUGCCACUGACACCAGACUAGCCAUUGACAAGGGUGUGUCUUCUCCAUUUCAAGCUGAGCAAUAGGAUAAUACUCAUGAAAGGUGACAGAUGGACAUCUAAGAAAAAAAAAGAAAAAAAAUAGAGAGAGAAGCUAGACCUGGAGUGGAAUUUCCCCAGCUUCUGAUAACCCAGGUCUGGCCUUGGUGAGCUCUGUUUUCUUGUGGUUCUGCAAAGCCAUGAGUCUUACCAGUGAUGCAAGCUUAUUCCCGAACUCUUACCAACAAGUUUAAUC